rnacentral:lncRNA from 12 species
GGAAGAAGUUUGGAGUAUCUUCCUUUUUUAGAUUUUGUAUAUUGUUACAGAACUUUGUUGUCCUACAUGAACUGGGAAAUAGCCCCUGCUUCAUGACAUGGUGAGUAUUUUACUGGUUUCUCACUUUUUGUGCUGUAGGGAGUCACUGGGACCUUGGUUAAUGCAAAGCAGGAAUUUUACACUGCUUACAUAGCAGCUAUUACAGAUUUACUGAGUGUAUCCUGUCAUUUUCACAGGCCUGUGUUUCUCCAGGGAAAGGACUUUCCAGAGAAACAAAUCAAGAAAAAAUAACUGGCUCGAUUUCCCUCCACCCAGCAAAAAUUUUUCAUAGCUGUACAUAGGAGCUGUUCAUGGAGCAGCAUGAAGUGUUGUGUGGGACAGAGGCUCCCACUAGCAAGUGCAGGAUUUCCCAGUGGAGCAAUGGAUGUGCACUGACAUCUGCUAAGACAAAAUAACCAUGCUCAGAAGAAAGUUGCUCCUGAUAGCAAGGAGUUACUGGAGCCAGCUGAACCUGAGACCGUAGUCAAUUGGCCUGUGCCUGAGAAAUCCUUGAUUAAAGCACACUUCCAGGCUGUGAUCCAUAAUGGUUGUCAGCUGCUGUCUGCUUUAGUCUACAGCUUAACUGCACCUUGAAGACAGCCAGCUCCUGCCUGUAUCUGCAUUGUGGGACUGUCUGCCCAGAACAUGCUCUCUUUGGUAGGUUCAGGCUUGUUUGUUUCUUUUUUUUACAUUUGAAAUAUAUUACAAGCUCUUCUUUUCCUGAAGGGGCUUUCUU